rnacentral:rRNA from 1 species
GAUGAACGCUAGCUACAGGCUUAACACAUGCAAGUCGAGGGGCAGCAUGACCUAGCAAUAGGUUGAUGGCGACCGGCGCACGGGUGAGUAACACGUAUCCAACCUGCCGAUUAUUCCGGGAUAGCCUUUCGAAAGAAAGAUUAAUACUGGAUAGCAUAACGAGAAGGCAUCUUCUUGUUAUUAAAGAAUUUCGAUAAUCGAUGGGGAUGCGUUCCAUUAGUUUGUUGGCGGGGUAACGGCCCACCAAGACAUCGAUGGAUAGGGGUUCUGAGAGGAAGGUCCCCCACAUUGGAACUGAGACACGGUCCAAACUCCUACGGGAGGCAGCAGUGAGGAAUAUUGGUCAAUGGACGAGAGUCUGAACCAGCCAAGUAGCGUGAAGGAUGGCUGCCCUAUGGGUUGUAAACUUCUUUUAUAUGGGAAUAAAGUGGGCCACGUGUGGCUUUUUGUAUGUACCAUACGAAUAAGGAUCGGCUAACUCCGUG